AGAGUUUGAUCAUGGCUCAGAUUGAACGCUGGCGGCAUGCCUUACACAUGCAAGUCGAACGGCAGCACGGGAGCAAUCCUGGUGGCGAGUGGCGAACGGGUGAGUAAUGUAUCGGAACGUACCUUUCAGUGGGGGAUAACGUAGCGAAAGUUACGCUAAUACCGCAUAUUCUGUGAGCAGGAAAGCAGGGGAUCGCAAGACCUUGCGCUGAUUGAGCGGCCGAUAUCAGAUUAGCUAGUUGGUGAGGUAAAGGCUCACCAAGGCGACGAUCUGUAGCGGGUCUGAGAGGAUGAUCCGCCACACUGGAACUGAGACACGGUCCAGACUCCUACGGGAGGCAGCAGUGGGGAAUUUUGGACAAUGGGGGCAACCCUGAUCCAGCCAUGCCGCGUGAGUGAAGAAGGCCUUCGGGUUGUAAAGCUCUUUCAGCCGGGAAGAAAACGCAUGGGUUAAUACCCUGUGUGGAUGACGGUACCGGAAUAAGAAGCACCGGCUAACUACGUGCCAGCAGCCGCGGUAAUACGUAGGGUGCGAGCGUUAAUCGGAAUUACUGGGCGUAAAGCGUGCGCAGGCGGUUUGUUAAGAUAGGCGUGAAAUCCCCGGGCUCAACCUGGGAACUGCGUUUAUGACUGGCAGGCUAGAGUAUGGCAGAGGGGGGUGGAAUUCCACGUGUAGCAGUGAAAUGCGUAGAGAUGUGGAGGAACACCGAUGGCGAAGGCAGCCCCCUGGGCCAAUACUGACGCUCAUGCACGAAAGCGUGGGUAGCAAACAGGAUUAGAUACCCUGGUAGUCC
rnacentral:rRNA from 1 species